GGGGACGACUUGGUUUCGACUGGAGUAGUCGGAGCUAUGUGCAUGUCGGACUGAGCAUUUCCGUUAUACGGCUCACAUUGCAUAACUGCAAACAAUACAGAUUACCGUCCAGCUUACGCAGUAGCGUAAGUUUACCCCGAGCGAUCGGAGGACUGCCUUACCAAGGAGUUCCAUCUUACUUGGAUUUUAGGCAUCACAUCUGAUGGAUAUGCUCUGUAGAAGUCAUGCUACAGUGUGAGAAUUUUGACUGGUUUUGUGUAGCUUUGGGUGUUGUGCGAAGCAAAAUGAGAUUUAACAUCACCGACUAAACAUGUAGAUUCAUAGCACUAGCUAUUUUAGGACUGGGGUUCAAUUCCCCACGUCUCCACCA
rnacentral:tmRNA from 1 species